rnacentral:sRNA from 2 species
GCCCGGCGCAUUUUCAUAAAGAACUCGCCUCCUGACUGUUGUUGUGUGCGUUUAUGAUACGUAACUUAUACGACAUGCUGGCCACACACCAAGAGCCGGAAUGGCCUGGGCGUUUAUUUCCCGUGGCCGCCCGUACGUAGCCAAUCCCGCUCGGCUCGCUUUCCCCCCACUUCUAUCGCCCCUUGCCCAUCAUUCGUUUUGAGUGUUCUUGGUUAACAGUUUUCGGGGUUCUUCCCUGGAUUGGGUCGGUUGUCAUGCUCAGGAUCUGGAGCAUCAUUAGCCGGAUUCUAUAUGGUCCUCGAACCGCAUCGCAUCGCGAAAGGUUAGGUAAAGGUCCAGGAAUCUUUGGCCAGGAUAAGGAUAAAUCACGAUAAUUCGAUGCUUGGUAUCCUUUCAGGAAGGUCCCAUGCAAACUAACCUGGAUUGCAGUAGUAUACCCGUCAUGUGCAGUGGUUUAUGUGCCUUGUAAAUCAACCUGG